CCUACGGGAGGCAGCAGUGAGGAAUAUUGGUCAAUGGGCGAGAGCCUGAACCAGCCAAGUCGCGUGAGGGAGUACUGCCCUAUGGGUUGUAAACCUCUUUUGUCGGGGAGCAAAAGCCGGACGUGUCCGGCUGUGAGAGUACCCGAAGAAAAAGCAUCGGCUAACUCCGUGCCAGCAGCCGCGGUAAUACGGAGGAUGCGAACGUUAUCCGGAUUUAUUGGGGUUAAAGGGUGCGCAGGCGGAUUUUUAAGUCAGCGGUCAAAUCGUGGGGCUCAACCCCAUCCAGCCGUUGAAACUGGGGAUCUAGAGUGUGCGAGAGGUAUGCGGAAUGCGUGGUGUAGCGGUGAAAUGCAUAGAUAUCACGCAGAACCCCGAUUGCGAAGGCAGCAUACCGGUGCACAACUGACGCUCAGGCACGAAAGCGUGGGUAUCGAACAGGAUUAGAUACCCCGGUAGUC
rnacentral:rRNA from 1 species